rnacentral:rRNA from 1 species
AUGAACGCUAGCUACAGGCUUAACACAUGCAAGUCGAGGGGCAGCAUGGUCUUAGCUUGCUAAGGCCGAUGGCGACCGGCGCACGGGUGAGUAACACGUAUCCAACCUGCCGUCUACUCUUGGACAGCCUUCUGAAAGGAAGAUUAAUACAAGAUGGCAUCAUGAGUCCGCAUGUUCACAUGAUUAAAGGUAUUCCGGUAGACGAUGGGGAUGCGUUCCAUUAGAUAGUAGGCGGGGUAACGGCCCACCUAGUCUUCGAUGGAUAGGGGUUCUGAGAGGAAGGUCCCCCACAUUGGAACUGAGACACGGUCCAAACUCCUACGGGAGGCAGCAGUGAGGAAUAUUGGUCAAUGGGCGAGAGCCUGAACCAGCCAAGUAGCGUGAAGGAUGACUGCCCUAUGGGUUGUAAACUUCUUUUAUAAAGGAAUAAAGUCGGGUAUGGAUACCCGUUUGCAUGUACUUUAUGAAUAAGGAUCGGCUAACUCCGUGCCAGCAGCCGCGGUAAUACGGAGGAUCCGAGCGUUAUCCGGAUUUAUUGGGUUUAAAGGGAGCGUAGAUGGAUGUUUAAGUCAGUUGUGAAAGUUUGCGGCUCAACCGUAAAAUUGCAGUUGAUACUGGAUAUCUUGAGUGCAGUUGAGGCAGGCGGAAUUCGUGGUGUAGCGGUGAAAUGCUUAGAUAUCACGAAGAACUCCGAUUGCGAAGGCAGCCUGCUAAGCUGCAACUGACAUUGAGGCUCGAAAGUGUGGGUAUCAAACAGGAUUAGAUACCCUGGUAGUCCACACGGUAAACGAUGAAUACUCGCUGUUUGCGAUAUACUGCAAGCGGCCAAGCGAAAGCGUUAAGUAUUCCACCUGGGGAGUACGCCGGCAACGGUGAAACUCAAAGGAAUUGACGGGGGCCCGCACAAGCGGAGGAACAUGUGGUUUAAUUCGAUGAUACGCGAGGAACCUUACCCGGGCUUAAAUUGCAGAUGAAUUACGGUGAAAGCCGUAAGCCGCAAGGCAUCUGUGAAGGUGCUGCAUGGUUGUCGUCAGCUCGUGCCGUGAGGUGUCGGCUUAAGUGCCAUAACGAGCGCAACCCUUGUUGUCAGUUACUAACAGGUUCCGCUGAGGACUCUGACAAGGCUGCCAUCGUAAGAUGUGAGGAAGGUGGGGAUGACGUCAAAUCAGCACGGCCCUUACGUCCGGGGCUACACACGUGUUACAAUGGGGGGUACAGAGGGCCGCUACCACGCGAGUGGAUGCCAAUCCCCAAAACCUCUCUCAGUUCGGACUGGAGUCUGCAACCCGACUCCACGAAGCUGGAUUCGCUAGUAAUCGCGCAUCAGCCACGGCGCGGUGAAUACGUUCCCGGGCCUUGUACACACCGCCCGUCAAGCCAUGGGAGCCGGGGGUACCUGAAGUGCGUAACCGCGAGGAGCGCCCUAGGGUAAAACUGGUGACUGGGGCU